rnacentral:rRNA from 1 species
UACGUAGGGGGCAAGCGUUGUCCGGAAUCAUUGGGCGUAAAGAGCGUGUAGGCGGCUCGAUAAGUCUGCUGUGAAAGUCCAGGGCUCAACCCUGGAAGGCCGGUGGAAACUGUCGGGCUAGAGUCCGGAAGAGGCGAGUGGAAUUCCCGGUGUAGCGGUGAAAUGCGCAGAUAUCGGGAGGAACACCAAUGGCGAAGGCAGCUCGCUGGGACGGUACUGACGCUGAGACGCGAAAGCGUGGGGAGCAAACAAG